rnacentral:lncRNA from 1 species
UGUUCAGAAGCAAUAUUUUAUUUGCUUUUACACAAUCUCAAUGCUAUUAUUAACAUUGUGCAGUAAUUUUAUACAGCUCUCUGCAGCACGCAAAACACUUCUACUGAAGUUAUCUCAUGUGUGGGCGGCAUGAGGCAUGAAGAAGGUGUCUGAGAUGGGUUUCCUCCACCAUCCUCAGUACCACCCUAGGAUGUUUUAUCUCCCUGCUUUCCAUUUGUAAAACAACAAAGGAAGAAUGUGAGACACUUGCGGGAGCAGGUAGCUCCCCAAGAGUAAGCCCUGUCUCUAGAGUAAGACUUUAAAUAUGCUUCUGGAGCAUGACCGAAAACAGUAUCUCACCAGAAUAACACAAAUAAUGUGUGUGUCACAUGACAAGUCAUCAUUAGCAAAGGGAAAACAUUCUUGUUUCAUAAGCCAGCAUGGUGCAUAUUUGUACUUAAAUGGGACCCUCUUUGAGGAGCAGCUCAGAUCCUAAAAGUGAGAAUCCGCAUGACCAUUUCUCUAUGGUUUCCAUUACUAAACGCAUUAUUUAAUCGACAUCUUUAGAUCGAAAAUCACUCAAUUUGUAUGAUGUAUUUUACUCUUACUAUGCAUUAGGAUGGCAUCCUCUUAAUGACUUUAUAAAGUGUUGUUAAUAAUGAAAAAAGAUAGGCUAAGGAAAAAGCACCAUAAAAAGAGAAUUCGUUAUGACUGAAAUUAAUAACAGAGAAGUAAAAAUUGGGACAAAGGAUGACUCUGACAUUUCUUUCUUGGUAAGUGAUAGUAACAGAUCCCUCAAAAGGGUUGCACUGCAGACGCCUACGUGUGCAGAGGAAUGUGACUGUGAAAACGGCUUGUGAGGCUUCAGGCCAAAGUAGAGAGAGAUGCACAGGUGCACUCUGAGAAAAGAAAGGUUUGUCUUCUUGUUUUGAGGUCCUAGGAGAGGCACAGGGCCUGUGGCCCAGAUACAGUGCCACACGCAGGUCUCGGGACUGGGUCAGAACAAAUGGCUCAGGACCAUUCACUCUUUUGUGACUCAGACUAGCAAUUAGCCUCUCUGCAUCCUCCUGGCCUUCUCACUUGUGAGGUGAGGCCAAUUGCCCCCUAUCCUAUAGAUGUUGUGUGUGAAUAAAUGAGGAUUUGUCAACAAAAUAAGAUGAAUGAGCUCCUUGGGAACGGGUGCCAUUUAAAUGCAAGCCACAGCUUCUUCAGCCUUUCUGCCUUGGCCAGGAGUUCACCUGCAUGACCUGAACUCACUUCACACAGACCCAAAGUCUCAGAGCUGCAGUUGAAUGUUUCUUUCUGCUUUUAAGACAUUUGAAGCUGGGCAGGGGGCUCAUACCAGUCAUCCCAGCGCUUUGGGAGGCUGAGGUGGGAGGAUCACUUGAGGCCAGGAGUUUGAAAUCAGUGUGGGCAACAUAGUGAGAUUCCAUCUCUAUCAAAAAUAAUUUUAAAAAUUAGCUGGGUAUGGGCUGGGUGCAGUGGCUCAUACCCGUAAUCCCAGCACUUUGGGAGGCCGAGGCGGGCAGAUCACCUGAGGUCAGGAGUUCAAGACCAGCCUGGCCAACAUGGCAAAAACCUAAAUACUAAAAAUAUAAAAAAUUAGCCGGGUGUGGUGGCAGGCGCCUGUAAUCCUAGCUACUCGGGAGGCUGAGGCAUGAGAAUUGCUUGAACCUGGGAGGUAGAGAUAGUGUCACUGCACUCCAGCCUGGGUUACAAGAGCAACUCGGUCUCCAAAAAAAAAUUAUCUGGGCAUGAUGGAGUGUGCCUGUAGUCCCAGCUACUUGGGAGACUGAGGCAGGAGGAUCAUUUGAGUGGUGCAAUCUCGGGUCACUGCAGCCUUGACCUCCCUGGGCUCAAGUGAUCCUCUUGCCUCAGCGUCCUGAGUAGCUGGGACCACAGGUGCACACCGCCACACCUGGCUAAUUUUUGUAUUUUUGUAUAGAUGGGGCUGGCUAUGUUGCCCCCUCCUUUCCUCACUUUCUUCCUCAAAUGCACUUUGCCAUUAACAUGAAUGUCCAUCCUGAGGUUUCAGCAGAUCAGAAAAGUUUCCUCAAUACCUCGUCCAGCUAGACUCCGGAAAUGUGAAAUGAUAAAAUUAGGGAAAUAGAUAGCUUUGGAAAUGUGAAAUAAAAUUAGGGAAAUAGCUCCUAAACAGCAAUAUUUGAGUCCAUAAUAGAGGUGCACAGUGUGAACAGUGAGAGGAAGCAGAUCAAACAGCCCUGUUUCCCAACCUAAAACACCCAGGGAAGUGGUUUUCACAUGUUAAACAACAUACAAAGCACCUGGGAAGUGAUUUCCUGAGCCAAUCUCUGGAAAUUAAGAUUUAGUAAACUAGCAUGGAACCCAGGAAUCUGCAUUCUGACAAGAUCUCAAAAGUAAUUUUGAUGGAAAUUUCUAAAAUGGACCACAUUUUGGCAAAUGCUGAUGUAUGAAAUAACUGCCAUAGAGCCAUAAUAUCCAAAGUGGAGUACAGAUAUAAAAUAUAUAAUACAUAAUAUAAUAUUUCAACAUAUUAUAUGAACAUGCAGGUAAAUUAAGAAGCAUGACAGGCAAGGCGCGGCUCUCGCCUAUAAUUCUAGCCUGAGUGACAGAGCAAGAUCCUGUCUCUCUAAAACAAAACAAAACAAAACACCAACGUGAUAGGAUGAACACUGCGAAUGCUGCAUCCUAUCUGAAAACUAGAACAUGACCCAAUGUGUGGCGUCUCCCGUGGGGCUCUUUUCUCUAUCCCCUUCCCCAGACUCCUUUGCAGACACUUUCCUUAAUUUGUGUUUACUAUGCUCUUGCUUUUAGAAAUAUUAGUUUUGGCCAGGCACAGCGGCUCAUGCCUAUAACCCAACACUUUGAGGGGGCUGAGGCAGGAGGAUCACUUGAGCUCCACAGUUCAAGACCCGGCUGGGUAACACAGGGAGACCCCGUCUCUACAAAACAAAAACAAAA